rnacentral:rRNA from 1 species
UACGAAGGGGGCUAGCGUUGCUCGGAAUCACUGGGCGUAAAGGGUGCGUAGGCGGGUCUUUAAGUCAGGGGUGAAAUCCUGGAGCUCAACUCCAGAACUGCCUUUGAUACUGAAGAUCUUGAGUUCGGGAGAGGUGAGUGGAACUGCGAGUGUAGAGGUGAAAUUCGUAGAUAUUCGCAAGAACACCAGUGGCGAAGGGCGGCUCACUGGCCCGAUACUGACGCUGAGGCA